rnacentral:rRNA from 1 species
GCCGGGAACUCAAAGGAGACUGCCAGUGAUAAACUGGAGGAAGGUGGGGAUGACGUCAAGUCAUCAUGGCCCUUACGACCAGGGCUACACACGUGCUACAAUGGCGCAUACAAAGAGAAGCGACCUCGCGAGAGCAAGCGGACCUCAUAAAGUGCGUCGUAGUCCGGAUUGGAGUCUGCAACUCGACUCCAUGAAGUCGGAAUCGCUAGUAAUCGUGGAUCAGAAUGCCACGGUGAAUACGUUCCCGGGCCUUGUACACACCGCCCGUCACACCAUGGGAGUGGGUUGCAAAAGAAGUAGGUAGCUUAACCUUCGGGAGGGCGCUUACCACUUUGUGAUUCAUGACUGGGGUGAAGUCGUAACAAGGUAACCGUAGGGGAACCUGCGGUUGGAUCACCUCCUUACCUGAAAGAA